GCAUGGCUGAACAAGACAAACACAAACUCUAAAGGUCAAGACAUUUUAUCCUCUUAUCCUUUUUUUACUAUGAAUCCAGUACUUCAGAUUCAUAGUUAUAAACUCAAAUCACUAAGAAACGACCCAAAAGCUGAAAGAAAUUAUUUAAGAGAAAUUUCCAUUUAAUCAUCCCCGUUGCCAACAAAUCCUCUCCAAAUUACCAAAUUAGUGUAAGCCCACAAGAACUGCCAGCCACACUACAAGGUCAGCAAUGAAUCCAACCAAAACUCAGAAUCCAAACAAGUUUAGCUAAUCACAAAUAAAGACAUAAGAAAUGUAAAGGUAACAAAACCUAAAGCUUGACAAAUCCCCAGGAAGGUGUUUCCACAUCCUACCUCACAUCUCAGUCCCGUAACCCAAAACAUAUCCUCCAAACACUUCUACAGAGAAACGAAUCAAGAUUGAAUUCUUAUACUUGAAGUUCCUGAUCAAACAAAUACAAAUGAAACUCAUCCAGCCCUGAUUGUAUUAUUAUUCUUUAAUCCUCAACUGUCAAAGUGCUGAAAAGGAAACAAAAUCACAGAUCAAGAUCUGACAGAUUUCAAAAAUCAAGAACAAUAUUCACAUUUAUGGUUUUUAAUCCUCAACCUGAAAAACAAUGAAUACAUGCAGAUCAAAAGAUAGACACGGUAGAUCUCAGUCAUCAAAUAAAUAACUAAAUUCAAAUUGAAUACAUAAGUCAUCAGAUAGCUAGUCACAGAUAAAUAAAAUAUGUGUGGAUGAGAAAACUUAAAUACAAAUGCCAGUCUUUAUGUUUGCUACUGAGGAACAAAUCACAAUUCAAUCCUUAUGUUUGGUGAUCAAGUCGAUAAAAAUUAAAUGAGAAAGAACGUUCAUCGACCGACGAAAGAAGUGCUGCAAAGGAAUGAACACAAACACCAAAUUUCAAAGGCUCCGAAAUCAGAUCGUAGCGAUCAGUCACAAAACUUUCCGGCCCAAAAAUUCAAGAAAUCGGCAGAGUCUUAAUUCAGGACGUACAAAACUAUUUCCAAACACCACUGCAGAUAAAGAGAUCAUAGUUCAAUCCCCAUGUAUAAUGAUCAAUACCAAAAAACAGUAUAUAAUAGAAAGGAGACAAAAAGAAGACUUAGGUUAUGCUGAACCCUUGGCCGUUCUGAACUAUUAUGCUUUUCAUGUUACUUUUCAUAUCAUCCAUAUGCAGAGAACCCGACCAGUUGAAAAGAUGUAAAGAAAUUACGCAAAAAGGUGUCAUCAUCAAUUAAAGAAAUAUUAUCUUGUGUUCUUCAAUCCAACAGAAGGACUGAUAACACUCGUGUUCUUCAAUCCGACAAAAGUCUAUCUAUCGAUACCCAUAUAAUUCCGAAAACCCUGAAAAAACUUGAUCAAAGAAGGGAAACACAGGCCAUACACCACAAUCUAUGGAAUAUACCGAUAUAAUUCUGAAAACCAUGAAAAAACUUGAUCAAGAAGGGAAACACAAGCCAUACACCACAAUCUUCGAAGCAAUACCGAUAUACUAUAAUAAAAUUCAAUCCCUAAAACCAUGAAUGUCAGACAGAAGAUGCAAGAACCAAAUUUGGCACGAGAAGAACCUCAAGGGCAAUGGGGGUAUAUAUAGAAAGGUUGGUCAAAAUUGACAGCUGUGAUUACGCGGUGGAGGAAAUCUGGACGGUUGUGAUACAGUUUCAAGAUUUUCAUCCUU
rnacentral:lncRNA from 1 species